UACGUAGGGGGCAAGCGUUGUCCGGAAUCAUUGGGCGUAAAGAGCGCGUAGGCGGCCCGAUAAGUCCGCUGUGAAAGUCAAGGGCUCAACCCUUGAAUGCCGGUGGAUACUGUCGGGCUAGAGUCCGGAAGAGGCGAGUGGAAUUCCCGGUGUAGCGGUGAAAUGCGCAGAUAUCAGGAAGAACACCCGUGGCGAAGGCGGCUCUCUGGGACGGUACUGACGCUGAGACGCGAAAGCGUGGGGAGCGAACAGG
rnacentral:rRNA from 1 species